ACGCUAGCUACAGGCUUAACACAUGCAAGUCGAGGGGCAGCAUUUUAGUUUGCUUGCAAACUGAAGAUGGCGACCGGCGCACGGGUGAGUAACACGUAUCCAACCUGCCGAUAACUCCGGAAUAGCCUUUCGAAAGAAAGAUUAAUACCGGAUAGCAUACGAAUAUCGCAUGAUAUUUUUAUUAAAGAAUUUCGGUUAUCGAUGGGGAUGCGUUCCAUUAGUUUGUUGGCGGGGUAACGGCCCACCAAGACUACGAUGGAUAGGGGUUCUGAGAGGAAGGUCCCCCACAUUGGAACUGAGACACGGUCCAAACUCCUACGGGAGGCAGCAGUGAGGAAUAUUGGUCAAUGGGCGAGAGCCUGAACCAGCCAAGUAGCGUGAAGGAUGAAGGCUCUAUGGGUCGUAAACUUCUUUUAUAUGGGAAUAAAGUUUUCCACGUGUGGAAUUUUGUAUGUACCAUAUGAAUAAGGAUCGGCUAACUCCGUGCCAGCAGCCGCGGUAAUACGGAGGAUCCGAGCGUUAUCCGGAUUUAUUGGGUUUAAAGGGAGCGUAGGUGGAUUGUUAAGUCAGUUGUGAAAGUUUGCGGCUCAACCGUAAAAUUGCAGUUGAAACUGGCAGUCUUGAGUACAGUAGAGGUGGGCGGAAUUCGUGGUGUAGCGGUGAAAUGCUUAGAUAUCACGAAGAACUCCGAUUGCGAAGGCAGCUCACUAGACUGUCACUGACACUGAUGCUCGAAAGUGUGGGUAUCAAACAGGAUUAGAUACCCUGGUAGUCCACACAGUAAACGAUGAAUACUCGCUGUUUGCGAUAUACAGUAAGCGGCCAAGCGAAAGCAUUAAGUAUUCCACCUGGGGAGUACGCCGGCAACGGUGAAACUCAAAGGAAUUGACGGGGGCCCGCACAAGCGGAGGAACAUGUGGUUUAAUUCGAUGAUACGCGAGGAACCUUACCCGGGCUUAAAUUGCAACAGAAUAUAUUGGAAACAGUAUAGCCGUAAGGCUGUUGUGAAGGUGCUGCAUGGUUGUCGUCAGCUCGUGCCGUGAGGUGUCGGCUUAAGUGCCAUAACGAGCGCAACCCUUAUCUUUAGUUACUAACAGGUUAUGCUGAGGACUCUAGAGAGACUGCCGUCGUAAGAUGUGAGGAAGGUGGGGAUGACGUCAAAUCAGCACGGCCCUUACGUCCGGGGCUACACACGUGUUACAAUGGGGGGUACAGAAGGCGGCUACCUGGUGACAGGGUGCUAAUCCCAAAAACCUCUCUCAGUUCGGAUCGAAGUCUGCAACCCGACUUCGUGAAGCUGGAUUCGCUAGUAAUCGCGCAUCAGCCAUGGCGCGGUGAAUACGUUCCCGGGCCUUGUACACACCGCCCGUCAAGCCAUGAAAGCCGGGGGUACCUGAAGUACGUAACCGCAAGGAGCGUCCUAGGGUAAAACU
rnacentral:rRNA from 1 species